UGGUGAGCUGUGGUCUAUCAGAGAUCAGCUGUGAUUAUCUGGCAGCAGCACUAAAGUCCAACCCCUCCCAUCUGAGAGAGCUGGACCUGAGGUUGAACAACAAGCUGCAGGAUUCAAGAGUGAAGCAGCUGUGUGGUUUUCUGGAGAGUCCAGGAUGUGGACUUGAAACUCUGAGAUUGGGGAGUUGUGGUUUGUCAGAGAUCAGCUGUGAUUAUCUGGCAGCAGCACUGAAGUCCAACCCCUCCCAUCUGAGAGAGCUGGACCUGAG